rnacentral:rRNA from 1 species
CCUACGGGUGGCAGCAGUGGGGAAUAUUGGACAAUGGGCGAAAGCCUGAUCCAGCAAUGCCGCGUGUGUGAAGAAGGCCUGCGGGUUGUAAAGCACUUUCAGUUGGGAAGAACCAGCGGCCGGUUAAUACCCGGUCGUCCUGACGUAACCAACAGAAGAAGCACCGGCUAACUCCGUGCCAGCAGCCGCGGUAAUACGGAGGGUGCAAGCGUUAAUCGGAAUUACUGGGCGUAAAGCGUACGUAGGCGGUUGAAUAAGUCGGAUGUGAAAGCCCCGGGCUUAACCUGGGAAUUGCAUUCGAUACUGUUCAGCUAGAGUGUGGAAGAGGGAAGUGGAAUUCCAGGUGUAGCGGUGAAAUGCGUAGAUAUCUGGAGGAACAUCAGUGGCGAAGGCGACUUCCUGGUCCAACACUGACGCUGAGGUACGAAAGCGUGGGGAGC